rnacentral:rRNA from 1 species
CUGGCUCAGAACGAACGCUGGCGGCAGGCUUAACACAUGCAAGUCGAACGCCCCGCAAGGGGAGUGGCAGACGGGUGAGUAACGCGUGGGAAUCUACCGUGCCCUGCGGAAUAGCUCCGGGAAACUGGAAUUAAUACCGCAUACGCCCUACGGGGGAAAGAUUUAUCGGGGUAUGAUGAGCCCGCGUUGGAUUAGCUAGUUGGUGGGGUAAAGGCCUACCAAGGCGACGAUCCAUAGCUGGUCUGAGAGGAUGAUCAGCCACAUUGGGACUGAGACACGGCCCAAACUCCUACGGGAGGCAGCAGUGGGGAAUAUUGGACAAUGGGCGCAAGCCUGAUCCAGCCAUGCCGCGUGAGUGAUGAAGGCCUUAGGGUUGUAAAGCUCUUUCACCGGAGAAGAUAAUG